GAUAAUCAAUUUUACUACAUGUCAGAUUUGCUCUUAAUGCUUUGGUUUUUGAGUUAUAAGCCAAAAACUGAAUUUUACCCCUAUGUUCUAUUUUUAGCCGUGGCGGCCAUCUUGGUUGGUUGACCGGGUCACGCCACACAUUUUUUAAACUAGAUACCCCAAUGAUGAUUGUGGCCAAGUUUGGUUUAAUUUAGCCCAGUGGUUUCAGAGGAGAAGAUUUUUGUAAUAGAUUACUAAGAUUUACAAACUAGAGGCUCUAAAGAGCCUGUGUCGCUCACCUUGGUCUAUGUGAAUAUUAAAGGAAGCAGAUGGAUUCAUGACAAAAUUGUGUUUUGGUGAUGGUGAUGUGUUUGUUCAUCUUACUUUACUGAACAUUCUUGCUGCUUAAAAUUAUCUCUAUCUAUAAUGAACUUGGCCCAUUAGUUUCAGUGGAAAAUGUUAGUAAAAAUUUACAAAUUUUAUGAAAUUGUUAAAAAUUGACUAUAAAGAACAAUAACUCCUAAGGGGGUCAAUUGACC
rnacentral:lncRNA from 1 species